UAGGGAAGAAGCUUAUGAUACUUUUGACAGUUUUUGUGUAGCUGAAAAACUAUGAUUUUCCUUUAAAAGAGCCUGGAACUGUAAACCAACUGCCAAACACCCCAACAUGCACUCACAGCAAAUGGGCUAGAUAAUUCAUUCAGCCCCCAAGUAGGGCGUACUCCACAAUGACCACUUCAGAUGUGGCCAUGGAGGAUGCUGAACAAAGAAGAACUAUCCAGUGUGUGACGCCAGGGAGCCACCACUAACAAUAGGGUGGUUAUUGAGAGCCUUAUGGAAACCAAGAGAGCCACAUUAUGCGGGGGUUCCAUCAGCACAGAUGAACAGAAAAGCAAUGUGGAGGCCAAAGCAGAAACACAGAAAAAGAAGCAUGUAAAUACAGGAACCCAACAUAUGAAAACAGUAGUCCCUCAAAGCAAUGGGAAUGACAGACAGUUUAGUAGAUGAUACUGGAAAACUGGCUCACAACGUGGGAGGAAACAAAGCUAUAGCCCUACCUUUUGUUACAUUAAGAUUAUUUUUUAUUAUGUAAGAUAGACUUCAUCUUAAUUACCUAAAUGGAAAAGGCAAAAUUAUAAAGCUAAAAAAGAAAUUAUUAUUUGUUUUCUUUGAAAAUACAUAUAUAAUUUAUAUAUAUACAUGUAUGUGUAUGUAUGUGUUUGGCCAGACACUAUUGUAAGUUAUUUACACAAUUUAACUCAUUCAGUUUUAGUAAAUCCCUAUGAAGAAGGUAACUUUAUUUUUAUGUAUGUAUGUAUGUAUUUAUGUAUUUAUUUGAGUCAGAGUCUUACUCUGUUGCCCAGGCUGAAGUGCAGUGGUGCAAUCACA
rnacentral:lncRNA from 1 species